AUUACACGCGAUCGGUUCUCGCAGUCAAGUCGCACGAUUUUUCCUACAAGAACUGUCGCUUUUAUUGAAAUUGAUAAAAUCGCACACUCCACGGUUCACCCCACGUACGCAUAUACAGCGCACUAAUAUGCUAUCUCACGAGUGAGACUUCCAACUAUAAAUCGAAGGACAAAGAAGCAAGGUUGCGUCUUCAACGCAACACGCGUGUGUCGUUACCUGCUAAUAAGAAUAGUGAAUAGGCACGCGAAGGCAGUGACAAUUCCGGCGACGCCGGCCACCACGAGCCACAUGGUGGGUGGCAGUAGUCCGAGCAGUCUCGCGC